rnacentral:lncRNA from 1 species
AGGAGCUCAGGACACUUUCCCACCAGCCUCUUCCCAUAUGGGUGAAGCCCAAGUCCUGGAGCUUCCGGCUUUCCCUUUUGAUUCUGAAGAGCCUUUUCUCCUUUCAACAAAUCCUGCCUCUCUUGCAGGAAAAGACAGGUUGAGCCACAGAAGAGAAUUACAGGACCAGAAACAUUCAAACAUUUACUGUUUGAGAAGUUAUCAGAGUACUCAUCUACAAGCAGAUGAACUCUUUCUCCAAAUAAAACUUGAAGUGAAGCCCCAACAUAUGACACAAAAAAGAGUGGAGCUGUCCCCUGGAAGCUGGACAAAGAACCUGGCUGGCUUAUUCCUGUCGUCACUCCAGAGAACUUCAGACUCCGCUCUGGAGACACUGAAGAACGAAGCUUGCAGACCUGUGUUUUACUCCGUAUGCAUGCUGAACUGCUUGCUGGCUGACAGUUUGCAGAAAGAAUAAAGUUAAAUCC